rnacentral:lncRNA from 1 species
UCAGCGGUGGUAUUAUGGUUGUGAGGCGGUGGUUCAAUUGGCUACUAGUGGUGGUUAGGUGGAGGAGAAGGGAAGAAAAGGGGCAAUUAAGUGAUAAAAAUGAAAGAAAAUGAGAGAAAAGGGGAGGAGCGAGGAGGAUGAUAAAAACGAGAGGGGAGGAGAGCAAAAUGAAAAACAAUAAAAAGUGAAGCAUGUGUCUACAUGCAUUGGACGACAUCAACUAGGAAAUGGAGGAGAGAAAGGAAAGUUUCGGGACAAGGGGAGCAAAUGGUGGAUCAUGGAGGGAAUAAAGGAACAAAAAGGGAAUGUUGACCAUGCAAACAAGGAAAGAAUCUUCCCAAGCAUGGCAACUCAUGGG